rnacentral:tRNA from 1 species
GCCCCUGUAGCUCAGUUGGUAGAGCACGUCCUUGGUAAGGACGAGGUCACCGGUUCGAUUCCGGUCGGGGGCU